rnacentral:rRNA from 1 species
UACGUAGGUGGCAAGCGUUGUCCGGAUUUACUGGGCGUAAAGGGCGUGCAGGCGGUCUGCUAAGUCUAGGGUGAAAGCUCCCGGCUCAACUGGGAGAGGUCCUUGGAUACUGGCGGACUUGAGGGAGGUAGAGGAGAGUGGAAUUCCCGGUGUAGUGGUGAUAUGCGUAGAUAUCAGGAGGAACACCGGUGGCGAAGGCGGCAUCCUGGACCAUAACUGACGCUGAGGCGCGAAAGCUAGGGGAGCAAACGGG